CUGGAUCUGCUGCCGGUUCGUUGCAAUGGGGAAAACCGGGGUGGCUUGAGUCUCUGGUUUUUUGGUUGAGAAGAAGGAGAUGGUGCUGUAAAUGGCUUCGGGGAACAGUGUCAGGUGAGGGGAUGCGAAAACUUUGGCUGGCUAGAGGAGAAAAAUGGCUCCGUGGUGGAGGACCUCGGCUGCUGUUGUUGUUUCUGUCACCGGCGGUGGAAGGGUUGAGGGAAAAAGGAACGGCUGGGGAUUGGAGAGAUUCAAACCGGGGGGGGCUACUGUUUGGCCGGUUUUUGCAGGGGAUCAGAGCGGGUUGGUGUUUUUUUUUUGGUUUUGGCCGGGGCCGGGAGAAAUCAGGGGGGAGCUGCAGUGUAGAAAAAAAUUCAACGGGGGGGCUGGCUGCUCUCUUGUUAGAGAUGGAUUUAGGGUUUGUUUUUGUAUUUUUCUGAUGUUUCCAAAAUGCCCCCCCUCUCUUGCAAGUGUUGGAAACCAGUAUUUAUAGGCAAAAAAUGUUGCCAAGUUUUUCAACUUGAUCCCUCAACUUCUUCUUUUUUUGUAAAUUUUGAUUUUUCUUAUUUUUUGUAUUUUUUGAAAACGAGCAAUAUCAACGUCGACUCAAUGAGAAAAAUCAAUGAUUUUUAAAAUGACGCGUGAGAAGUCGAACGCGUUUGAAAAUCUUUUUUUUGAAAAUUUAAAUUCUUUUUUUCGACGACGUUGAAAAUGCUAAAAUGACGAGAAUAUAUUAAAAAACAUAUUUUUUGGAUUUUCAUUGUUUUUUCUCUAUUUUUGGAUUUUUUUGAAAAUAUAUCAAAAACAUGAGUCAAAAAUUGGGUAGCAACAGAUGCCCCCUCUUUACAAUGCUUACGAAGUGAAAAUCCUAAAAAUUUUGCAUAGUAAGCUUUGUAAAGAAAACAAAAGGAAAAUGAUUUCAUUAUCUUUGGCGACCUGCCCACACACUCACACUGAUCUAUUUUCACGGGCGACCUGCCCACCCAUACUCACUCUAGUCUAUUUUCACGGGCGACCUACCCACACAUACUCACUCUGGUCUAUUUUCACGGGCGACCUGCCCACACAUACUCACUCUGGUCUAUUUUCACUAGCGACCGACCCACACAUACUCACUCUGGUCUAUUUUCACGGGCGACCGACCCACACUCUCACACUGGUCUAUUUUCACGGGCGACCUUCCCACACAUACUCACUCUGGUCUAUUUUCACGGGCGACCGGCCCUUUUAAUUGGAUUUACCUGAGAUCCUAUCUGGCGACCUCAUUCAAUUGGAACGAAAUAUGCGUAACUCGGUUAACCUGAAAUCCCAUCUAGCGAUUCCCUUUAACCAAAGCUACAUGAGAUCCCAUCUGGCGACCUCAUUCAACUGGAACUAAACUGUGUGUAACUCGGUUAACCUGAAAUCCCAUCUGGCGAUUCCCUUUAACCAAAGCUACCUGAGAUCCCAUCUGGCGACCUCAUUCAACUGGAACGAAAAUAUGUGUAACUCGGUUAACCUGAAAUCCCAUCUGGCGAUUCCCUUUAACCAAAGCUACAUGAGAUCCCUUCUGGCGACCUCAUUCAACUGGAACUAAACUGUGUGUAACUCGGUUAACCUGAAAUCCCAUCUGGCGAUUCCCUUUAACCAAAGCUACCUAAGAUCCUAUCUGGCGACCUCAUUCAACUAGAAUGAAAAUAUGUGUAACUCGGUUAACCUGAAAUCCCAUCUGGCGAUUCCCUUUAACCAAAGCUACAUGAGAUCCCUUCUGGCGACCUCAUUCAACUGGAAUGAAAAUAUGUGUAACUCGGUUAACCCGAAAUCCCAUCUGGCGAUUCCCUUUAACCAAAGCUACAUGAGAUCCCAUCUGGCGACCUCAUUCAACUAGAACGAAAAUAUGUGUAACUCGGUUAACCUGAAAUUGCAUCUGGCGAUUCCCUUUAACCAAAGCUACAUGAGAUCCCAUCUGGCGAUCUCAUUUAACCAAAACAAAAGAAUGUGUAAAAAACGGUCUCAUUGUAAUGGGUGACCUACCCAGGUGGAAAGAAUAUGAAAAAAACAGUCUUAUUAUGAUGGGUGACCUACCCAGAUGGAAAGAAUAUGAAGUACGGUCUUAUUAUAAUGGGUGACCUACCCAAAAAUGGGAAAAAUUAUGAAGUGUGGUCUCAUUGUAAUGGGUGACCUACCCAGAUGGAAAAAAUAUGAUGAAGUGCAGUCUCAUUGUCAUGGGUGACCUACCCGGAUUGAAAAAAUAUGAAAAAGCAGUCUCGUUGUGAUGGGCGACCUACCCAAAUAGAAAGAAUGUGAAGUGCGGUCUCAUUGUAAUGGGUGACCUACCCAAAAUGGAAAAAAUAUGAAGUGGGGUCUCAUUGUAAUGGGUGACCUACCCAGAUGGAAAAAAUAUGAUGAAAUGCGGUCUCAUUGUCAUGGGUGACCUACCCAGAUGGAAAAAAUGUGAAAAACGGUCUUAUUAUGAUGGGAGACCUAUCCAGAUGGAAAGAAUGUGAUAUGACAAGUAUGAAAAAUAGGACUUACCUGGCGAAGUCCUAAGGGGAUGACAGAAGAAGGGCUGGAAAACUUGGUGCUUCCUGAUAAUUCCCGAUCAUAGGGUUUGAAAACUCGGUGUUUCCUGACUUGAAGGGUUGAAAACUCGAGGCUUCCCGGUUGCAAGGUUGAUCUAUUCAUUUCUUUGGGAUUUUCCUAAUGGUAGGGUUCAUCCCAUCGUCCUUUUAUUCCAUGAUCAAAACCGAUUCUUUAUUAUCAUCACCACAAUGCUUCUUUCUCUUUCCACCAUCUUGCUGGACCUCAUUAAGGAUUUUCCUAUAACAAUUCAAAAAUAUGUGCAAAUGGUUUGUUUUUUCUUUUUUCUUUUUUUCUCUUUUUUUUAUUUUUUUUAUUUUUAGGUUAGAUGAUAUGCAUGCAUCCUUACCUGAUUUGAAAUAUAGGUCCCCCCCUCUUUGAUGCUUCAUUGUCAUAAGGUGCCUUUGUUUGCAUUCCAAAGCUGUCCUUGUUCUUUCGAUGUAUUGGCUCAUUCAUGUGCUAGCCAUCCACUCAGCUAUAAAUACAAUGCAUAUCUUAGGAUGUCUUCGACGAUUACUGCUCUCGUUGUUCAUCAAGCUUGACAAUGCCCCCAAGUGUGAUGUUGCUUGAUUUAUUAUGAAGGAUGUUCUCUCUUGGAUUCUUCUGGGAAUUAUCUUCUGAUUGGUUGUGUGUAUCAUGCCAACACCCAUCAAGAUUGUUAACUAGUCUGAAAAUGCCUCCAGUCGAAACAAUACUCUUCAAGUACAAGUUAUCAUCAGCCUUCAUGGAAAUCAUCCAGUCAUCCAGACAUGCAUCUCAUAGUGGCACGUCGAAAAAAAAUCCACGCGUGGCAUCGAGCUGGCAAUUUUUAUCGUUGUCGUUGUUUGCUUUGAAUUCGUUGGGAGUCGCCACCAAGUAAUUUAUUGAAGGCUACUAGGAAACCGAAUGUACUGGUCUGUCAGAGAUCGCGGGUAAGGGACUGGUUGUAGUUAGGGAAGGUAUUAGCACCCCUAACAUACCCUACCUGAGGUAAGCUGCUUCGCGAAUUUGAUGCGUUAAAGAAGUUUUAAUAAUUGUCUUUUCAUCGGAAAUUAGAAAUAUCACUUACGUAUAAGUUAAUAAUUCUUAAUCGUGAUCCGAUCAAAAUAUUAAAUUCUUCUUUAAUAUAUUUGCAAUUUUAUCAUUAAAAAAUAUAUACAAAUAAAUAAUACAAAAUACAAACACACACAUUCAUUUUCACUAUCUUUAUUUCUUUUCUUUUCUUUUCUUUUUUCUUUUCUUUUCUUUUCUUUUACAUCCACAAUACAAAUACAAAUACAAAUACAAAUUCAAAAUAACUAAAUAAAAAUUACAUUCAUUAAUUAAAAAAAAUUACAAAAAUAGUCCCUAAAACUCCAGAAAUUGCACUGAAGACCUUUUGCACCACCAGAACAGUGCUGGGAAUAGUGAGAUGCGCCACCGUCACUGGCGGCGCGUGAAGCGUGGGUUCACGCGCCGCCGCUGGAAAAAGUCCAGCAAGCAGGGUCCACGCGCCGCCGUUGGAAAAAGUCCAGCAAGCAGGGUUCAGUCACAACUUCCUCUCUUCUUCACCGGCGAUGAGGCUGUGACCUGCAAAACAAAAAAACGCAACAACACAGUCGACUCUCUCCUUCUUAGAUCUGUUUAGAUCUGCUUCUCUCUCGUUCUUCUCCGGGUAGCAGACUUGUUGUGGAGUGUUGGGCGACUCGCCGGGCGACUCGUGGGGUCGGUCACCGGCUAGAUCGGGUAAAUCGCCGACCCUUCUUUCCUCUUCGGCUAGCGGUGGGUCUGUGGGCUGCUGAAACUAGGAGGCGAUGGCUGAGAGGAGAAGAAACCCACGGGUCCAAGCUGGGGAAGCAGCGGUCGUCUUCAACAGGAAAAGGGAAGCUUCGGCUGAGGGGAGAAGACAUGGGAAGCGUCGAAGCAGCGGGUUGAUUUGGGUGGAGGCGCUGCUAUUAAAAGGAGAAGAAGACGCUGCUGAGGAAGGGGGCUUCGGCUGCAUCUGCUGCCGGUUCGUUGCAAUGGGGAAAACCGGGGGGGCUUGAGCCUCUGGUUUUUUGGUUGAGAAGAAGGAGACGGUGCUGUAAAUGGCUUCGGGGAACAGUGUCAAGUGAUGGGAUGCGAAAACUUUGGCUGGCUAGAGGAGAAAAAUGGCUCCGUGGUGGAGGACCUCGGCUGCUGUUGUUGUUUCUGUCACCGGCGGUGGUAGGGUUGAGGGAAAAAGGAACGACCGGGGAUUGGAGAGAUUCAAACCGGGGGGAGCUACUGUUUGGCCGGUUUUUGCAGGGGAUCAGAGCGGGUUGGUGUUUUUUUUUUGG
rnacentral:lncRNA from 1 species